GUGCGGGUCCUGUGCGACAGAGCUCCACGAACCAUGUCAGGCGGGGAACCGAGCAGCAUUAAGUGGUCAGCCUGUGCGCCACAGUCCGCCUGCACGGU
rnacentral:SRP_RNA from 1 species